GUGUCAGCAGCCGCGGUAAUACGUAGGUGGCGAGCGUUGUCCGGAUUUACUGGGCGUAAAGGAUGCGUAGGUGGAUGUUUAAGUCAGAUGUGAAAUACCCGAGCUUAACUUGGGUGCUGCAUUUGAAACUGGAUAUCUAGAGUGCAGGAGAGGUAAGUGGAAUUCCUAGUGUAGCGGUGAAAUGCGUAGAGAUUAGGAAGAACACCAGUGGCGAAGGCGACUUACUGGACUGUAACUGACACUGAGGCAUGAAAGCGUGGGUAGCAAACAGGAUUAGAUACCCCUGUAGUCC
rnacentral:rRNA from 1 species